rnacentral:rRNA from 1 species
UAAACGCUGGCGGCGCACAUAAGACAUGCAAGUCGAACGGAAGUCGUUAUAAAAAGGAUUGAAGAUUUAUCUGAUUGAGAUUUUAUAACAAUGGCUUUAGUGGCGGACUGGUGAGUAACGCGUGAGCAACCUGCCUACUAGAGGGGAAUAACAGUGAGAAAUCAUUGCUAAUACCGCAUAUGCCAUGAACAUCACAUGAUGAAAAUGGGAAAAGAGUAAUCUGCUAGUAGAUGGGCUCGCGUCUGAUUAGAUAGUUGGUGGGGUAACGGCCUACCAAGUCAACGAUCAGUAGCCGGACUGAGAGGUUGAACGGCCACAUUGGGACUGAGAUACGGCCCAGACUCCUACGGGAGGCAGCAGUCGGGAAUAUUGCACAAUGGGGGAAACCCUGAUGCAGCGACGCCGCGUGAAGGAAGAAGGCCCUCGGGUUGUAAACUUCUUUGACCAGGGACGAAGAAAGUGACGGUACCUGGAGAACAAGCACCGGCCUAACCUACGUG